rnacentral:sRNA from 1 species
AGUGUGAACUGUCUUGCUUUUCAGAACAGCAUAAGAAUUAUUUCUGGGUGGAGGUGAGGCUUGUCCAAAUGUCUUUGCUGUCAUGUUUCCUGACUACUACCUGUUUGAGGUUUGGGCAAUUAUGAAUAAAGCUGCUGUAUACAUCCAUGUGCAGGAUUUUGUGUGGACAUAAGUUUUCAACUCCUUUGGGUUAAAUCCUAAGGAAUUUCAUAUGCAGAAUAAAUGGUAAUUAAAAUGUGCAGGAUGACAAGAUGGAGCAAACAGUGCUUGUACCACCAGGACCUGACAGCUUCAACUUCUUCACCAGAGAAUCUCUUGCGGCUAUUGAAAGACGCAUUGCAGAAGAAAAGGCUAAGAAUCCCAAACCAGACAAAAAAGAUGACGAUGAAAAUGGCCCAAAGCCAAAUAGUGACUUGGAAGCUGGAAAGAACCUUCCAUUUAUUUAUGGAGACAUUCCUCCAGAGAUGGUGUCAGAGCCCCUGGAGGACCUGGACCCCUACUAUAUCAAUAAGAAAACUUUUAUAGUAUUGAAUAAAGGGAAGGCCAUCUUCCGGUUCAGUGCCACCUCUGCCCUGUACAUUUUAACUCCCUUCAAUCCUCUUAGGAAAAUAGCUAUUAAGAUUUUGGUACAUUCAUUAUUCAGCAUGCUAAUUAUGUGCACUAUUUUGACAAAUUGUGUGUUUAUGACAAUGAGUAACCCUCCUGAUUGGACAAAGAAUGUAGAAUACACCUUCACAGGAAUAUAUACUUUUGAAUCACUUAUAAAAAUUAUUGCAAGGGGAUUCUGUUUAGAAGAUUUUACUUUCCUUCGGGAUCCAUGGAACUGGCUCGAUUUCACUGUCAUUACUUUUGCGUACGUCACAGAGUUUGUGGACCUGGGCAAUGUCUCGGCAUUGAGAACAUUCAGAGUUCUCCGAGCAUUGAAGACGAUUUCAGUCAUUCCAGGCCUGAAAACCAUUGUGGGAGCCCUGAUCCAGUCUGUGAAGAAGCUCUCAGAUGUAAUGAUCCUGACUGUGUUCUGUCUGAGCGUAUUUGCUCUAAUUGGGCUGCAGCUGUUCAUGGGCAACCUGAGGAAUAAAUGUAUACAAUGGCCUCCCACCAAUGCUUCCUUGGAGGAACAUAGUAUAGAAAAGAAUAUAACUGUGAAUUACAAUGGUACACUUAUAAAUGAAACUGUCUUUGAGUUUGACUGGAAGUCAUAUAUUCAAGAUUCAAGAUAUCAUUAUUUCCUGGAGGGUUUUUUAGAUGCACUACUAUGUGGAAAUAGCUCUGAUGCAGGCCAAUGUCCAGAGGGAUAUAUGUGUGUGAAAGCUGGUAGAAAUCCCAAUUAUGGCUACACAAGCUUUGAUACCUUCAGUUGGGCUUUUUUGUCCUUGUUUCGACUAAUGACUCAGGACUUCUGGGAAAAUCUUUAUCAACUGACAUUACGUGCUGCUGGGAAAACGUACAUGAUAUUUUUUGUGUUGGUCAUUUUCUUGGGCUCAUUCUACCUAAUAAAUUUGAUCCUGGCUGUGGUGGCCAUGGCCUACGAGGAACAGAAUCAGGCCACCUUGGAAGAAGCAGAACAGAAAGAGGCCGAAUUUCAGCAGAUGAUCGAACAGCUUAGAAAGCAACAGGAGGCAGCUCAGCAGGCAGCAACGGCAACUGCCUCAGAACAUUCCAGAGAGCCCAGUGCAGCAGGCAGGCUCUCAGACAGCUCAUCUGAAGCCUCUAAGUUGAGUUCCAAGAGUGCUAAGGAAAGAAGAAAUCGGAGGAAGAAAAGAAAACAGAAAGAGCAGUCUGGUGGGGAAGAGAAAGAUGAGGAUGAAUUCCAAAAAUCUGAAUCUGAGGACAGCAUCAGGAGGAAAGGUUUUCGCUUCUCCAUUGAAGGGAACCGAUUGACAUAUGAAAAGAGGUACUCUUCCCCACACCAGUCUUUGCUGAGCAUCCGUGGCUCCCUAUUUUCACCAAGGCGAAAUAGCAGAACAAGCCUUUUCAGCUUUAGAGGGCGAGCAAAGGAUGUGGGAUCUGAGAACGACUUCGCAGAUGAUGAGCACAGUACCUUUGAGGAUAACGAGAGCCGUAGAGAUUCCUUGUUUGUGCCCCGACGACAUGGAGAGAGACGCAACAGCAACCUGAGUCAGACCAGUAGGUCAUCCCGGAUGCUGGCAGUGUUUCCAGCGAAUGGGAAGAUGCACAGCACUGUGGAUUGCAAUGGUGUGGUUUCCUUGGUUGGUGGACCUUCAGUUCCUACAUCGCCUGUUGGACAGCUUCUGCCAGAGGUGAUAAUAGAUAAGCCAGCUACUGAUGACAAUGGAACAACCACUGAAACUGAAAUGAGAAAGAGAAGGUCAAGUUCUUUCCACAUUUCCAUGGACUUUCUAGAAGAUCCUUCCCAAAGGCAACGAGCAAUGAGUAUAGCCAGCAUUCUAACAAAUACAGUAGAAGAACUUGAAGAAUCCAGGCAGAAAUGCCCACCCUGUUGGUAUAAAUUUUCCAACAUAUUCUUAAUCUGGGACUGUUCUCCAUAUUGGUUAAAAGUGAAACAUGUUGUCAACCUGGUCGUGAUGGACCCAUUUGUUGACCUGGCUAUCACCAUCUGUAUUGUCUUAAAUACUCUUUUCAUGGCCAUGGAGCACUAUCCAAUGACAGACCAUUUCAAUAAUGUGCUUACAGUAGGAAACUUGGUUUUCACUGGGAUCUUUACAGCAGAAAUGUUUCUGAAAAUUAUUGCCAUGGACCCUUACUAUUAUUUCCAAGAAGGCUGGAAUAUCUUUGAUGGUUUUAUUGUGACGCUUAGCCUGGUAGAACUUGGACUCGCCAAUGUGGAAGGAUUAUCUGUUCUCCGUUCAUUUCGAUUGCUGCGAGUUUUCAAGUUGGCAAAAUCUUGGCCAACAUUAAAUAUGCUAAUAAAGAUCAUCGGCAAUUCCGUGGGGGCUCUGGGAAAUUUAACCCUUGUCUUGGCUAUCAUCGUCUUCAUUUUUGCCGUGGUCGGCAUGCAGCUCUUUGGUAAAAGCUACAAAGAUUGUGUCUGCAAGAUCGCCAGUGAUUGUCAACUCCCACGCUGGCACAUGAAUGACUUCUUCCACUCCUUCCUGAUCGUGUUCCGCGUGCUGUGUGGGGAGUGGAUAGAAACCAUGUGGGACUGUAUGGAGGUUGCUGGUCAAGCCAUGUGCCUUACUGUCUUCAUGAUGGUCAUGGUGAUUGGAAACCUAGUGGUCCUGAAUCUCUUUCUGGCCUUGCUUCUGAGCUCAUUUAGUGCAGACAACCUUGCAGCCACUGAUGAUGAUAAUGAAAUGAAUAAUCUCCAAAUUGCUGUGGAUAGGAUGCACAAAGGAGUAGCUUAUGUGAAAAGAAAAAUAUAUGAAUUUAUUCAACAGUCCUUCGUUAGGAAACAAAAGAUUUUAGAUGAAAUUAAACCACUUGAUGAUCUAAACAACAAGAAAAACAGUUGUAUGUCCAAUCAUACAACAGAAAUUGGGAAAGAUCUUGACUAUCUUAAAGAUGUAAAUGGAACUACAAGUGGUAUAGGAACUGGCAGCAGUGUUGAAAAAUACAUUAUUGAUGAAAGUGAUUACAUGUCAUUCAUAAACAAUCCUAGUCUUACUGUGACUGUACCAAUUGCUGUAGGAGAAUCUGACUUUGAAAAUUUAAACACGGAAGACUUUAGUAGUGAAUCGGAUCUGGAAGAAAGCAAAGAGAAACUGAAUGAAAGCAGUAGCUCAUCAGAAGGUAGCACUGUGGACAUCGGCGCACCUGCAGAAGAACAGCCCGUAGUGGAACCUGAAGAAACCCUUGAACCGGAAGCUUGUUUCACUGAAGGCUGUGUACAAAGAUUCAAGUGUUGUCAAAUCAAUGUGGAAGAAGGCAGAGGAAAACAAUGGUGGAACCUGAGAAGGACGUGUUUCCGAAUAGUUGAACAUAACUGGUUUGAGACCUUCAUUGUUUUCAUGAUUCUCCUUAGUAGUGGUGCUCUGGCAUUUGAAGAUAUAUAUAUUGAUCAGCGAAAGACGAUUAAGACGAUGUUGGAAUAUGCUGACAAGGUUUUCACUUACAUUUUCAUUCUGGAAAUGCUUCUAAAAUGGGUGGCAUAUGGCUAUCAAACAUAUUUCACCAAUGCCUGGUGUUGGCUGGACUUCUUAAUUGUUGAUGUUUCAUUGGUCAGUUUAACAGCAAAUGCCUUGGGUUACUCAGAACUUGGAGCCAUCAAAUCUCUCAGGACACUAAGAGCUCUGAGACCUCUAAGAGCCUUAUCUCGAUUUGAAGGGAUGAGGGUAAGAAAAAUGAAAGAACCUGAAGUAUUGCAUAUAGCCAAAAUUAAACUAAAUUAAAUUUAGAAAAAGGAAAAUCCAUGCAUGCAAAAGGAAUGGCAAAUUCUUGCAAAAUUGCUACUUUAUUGUUUUAUCUGUUGCAUAUUUACUUCUAGGUGAUAUGCAAGAGAAAUAGGCCUCUCUUGAAAUGAUAUAAUAUCAUUUAUCUGCUGUGCUUAUUUAAAUGACUUUAUUUCCUAAUCCAUCUUGGGAGUUUCCUUACAAAUCUAUAUACAAAAAAAAGCAGAUGCAUUAUUAAAGUACUAUGUGUAAUGAUAUAAUAGUAAUCUAAAGUAAAUUCUAUAUCAGGUACUUAUUCUUUGU